rnacentral:rRNA from 1 species
UACGAAGGGGGCUAGCGUUGCUCGGAAUCACUGGGCGUAAAGCGCACGUAGGCGGGAUCUUAAGUCAGGGGUGAAAUCCUGGAGCUCAACUCCAGAACUGCCUUUGAUACUGGGAAUCUCGAGUCCGGGAGAGGUGAGUGGAACUGCGAGUGUAGAGGUGAAAUUCGUAGAUAUUCGCAAGAACACCAGUGGCGAAGGCGGCUCACUGGCCCGGUACUGACGCUGAGGAGCGAAAGCGUGGGGAGCAAACAGG